rnacentral:snRNA from 1 species
AGUAGUAGGGGCAAUCUGGCUGCAAUAUCUUUCACCCUAUUGAUACCAAGGGUUGAUUUGACUGAUAUGAUUGGGUAGGCAUGUGUCCUUUUCUCUCUUUUCACUCCUUAGCCCUGCCUCCCAUAGCUGCACACUCAGUUGAGGAGGACAAACUUCUUUGAUAGAAGAGGAAGGUUUUUCAGUAAGAAGGAUGUGUAGUUGUACUCCCCUGCUAGAAACUACAAGCUUUCAAGGUUAAUUUGUAGAACAUAAGGUAUUCAAGCUUCGAAGACUCCAGACUCAUCCAAAUGAAGUACUGCAUUUGGCAGUCUACCUUU